GGUUGUGGCUCAGUGGUAGAGCGCUUGCCUAGCACGUGAUGGCCCUGGGUUCAAUCCUCAGCAGCACA
rnacentral:tRNA from 1 species